AUGCGCCUGAGACGUGUCAACCCAGGUAAGCAUACGGAACAUUGUUUGGAUGGGACGGUGACCGAAUGCGUCACACGAUCGACUGCUUUUACUGUGGUCUUCUUCUUAUGAGUAGUUGUUUUGUUAAAUGGGAGAACCACUUUAAUCAUUUUGUUUCCCUGAACAAAGCAAAAUAUUUUUAGUCGAUGAUUACUUGAAAUAAAUAAUUACGUUUCAUCGAACGUAGUUACAGAGGGAUAACGGUUAUCUUACAAACAAUAACAGCUAGAGUAGAUGAUAAAGAUGCCAUAUUUUGCCACGAAUCUGCGUAUCGUCCGGGAGUUCAGCAGCGAGUCUCUCUGAUCUUCAGUGAUCCUUCGCACAUCGAGCGAGUUCGUCGCCUACACCUCUGGUCAUCCUGUGGGUCAUCCUUCCGUCUGGCAUUGAUGUUACAUGUCCAGCGAAAACCGGUGCGCCGAACCAAAAUAUCAAAAUCGACGGCGCAAGGCUUUUUCGACCGGCGGCGGAGACGAAUCAGUGUGACACCGUUUGUGUAAAUGAUCGGGGUCGGUUUUUAUUAUUGGGUAAUAUUUUUAUUUUUCGUACUUACAAUGAACAAUGUUAUCUAACAUGAACAGAUGAAAAUUUAAUUAAAAUAAUCGAAACAACACGAACAAACUCAGCUCAAUCAUGAGAUGAAAAGUUAUGGUGAUAUGGUCCUUAUUUAAAAUUGGUAACUAUUUAAAAAGUGAAUAAAAAUGUUAUUCUUUAUUCGUUA